ACCCCAUGAUUUAAGCCGACGCUCUAGCAAUUCCCAUGGCUGUAAGCGUGGUCCAGAUUGGGAACAUAAAUUCUAUCUUGAUUGUGUAAACUAAUUUUAUUUAAUUAAAGUUAGUUAAGGUUUAUUACAAGACA